UACGUAGGGGGCAAGCGUUGUCCGGAUUUAUCGGGCGUAAAGCGCGCGCAGGCGGUUUUUUAAGGCUGGGGUUUAAGUUCGGGGCUCAACCCCGUAUCGCCCUGGAAACUGGGAGACUGGAGUGCAGGAGAGGAAAGUGGAAUUCCACGUGUAGCGGUGAAAUGCGUAGAUAUGUGGAGGAACACCAGUGGCGAAGGCGACUUGCUGGGCUGUAACUGACGCUGAGGCGCGAAAGCGUGGGGAGCAGACAGG
rnacentral:rRNA from 1 species